UUUAGGAGUAGAAGCGGUUAGGGAUUCCCCGGGACAUUGCUCUUUAG
rnacentral:ncRNA from 1 species